rnacentral:piRNA from 1 species
CCCCGGACUGUCGGCCAGGAGAAG